rnacentral:rRNA from 1 species
GGGUUGUGAGGUUAAGCGACUAAGCGUACACGGUGGAUGCCCUGGCAGUCAGAGGCGAUGAAGGGCGUGCUAAUCUGCGAUAAGCGCCGGUAAGGUGAUAUGAACCGUUAUAACCGGCGAUACCCGAAUGGGGAAACCCAGUGUGACUCGUCACACUAUCAUUAACUGAAUCCAUAGGUUAAUGAGGCGAACCGGGGGAACUGAAACAUCUAAGUACCCCGAGGAAAAGAAAUCAACCGAGAUUCCCCCAGUAGCGGCGAGCGAACGGGGAGGAGCCCAGAGCCUGAAUCAGCAUGUGUGUUAGUGGAAGCGUCUGGAAAGGCGCGCGAUACAGGGUGACAGCCCCGUACACAAAAGCGCAUGUGCUGUGAGCUCGAUGAGUAGGGCGGGACACGUGGUAUCCUGUCUGAAUAUGGGGGGACCAUCCUCCAAGGCUAAAUACUCCUGACUGACCGAUAGUGAACCAGUACCGUGAGGGAAAGGCGAAAAGAACCCCGGCGAGGGGAGUGAAAAAGAACCUGAAACCGUGUACGUACAAGCAGUGGGAGCCCCACCACCAAAGCAUUCUCUGGUGUUGAAGGCCCUGCAAAGCAGCAUCGCGGUGGCGGAGCGUCGUUUGCGACGCCCAACACAAAAAACAAGCGGUGAGUGCUUUGGGGUGGGGUGACUGCGUACCUUUUGUAUAAUGGGUCAGCGACUUAUAUUCUGUAGCAAGGUUAACCGUAUAGGGGAGCCGUAGGGAAACCGAGUCUUAACCGGGCGUUAAGUUGCAGGGUAUAGACCCGAAACCCGGUGAUCUAGCCAUGGGCAGGUUGAAGGUUGGGUAACACUAACUGGAGGACCGAACCGACUAAUGUUGAAAAAUUAGCGGAUGACCUGUGGCUGGGGGUGAAAGGCCAAUCAAACCGGGAGAUAGCUGGUUCUCCCCGAAAGCUAUUUAGGUAGCGCCUCGUGAAUUCAUCUCCGGGGGUAGAGCACUGUUUCGGCUAGGGGGCCAUCCCGGCUUACCAACCCGAUGCAAACUGCGAAUACCGGAGAAUGUUAUCACGGGAGACACACGGCGGGUGCUAACGUCCGUCGUGAAGAGGGAAACAACCCAGACCGCCAGCUAAGGUCCCAAAGUCAUGGUUAAGUGGGAAACGAUGUGGGAAGGCCCAGACAGCCAGGAUGUUGGCUUAGAAGCAGCCAUCAUUUAAAGAAAGCGUAAUAGCUCACUGGUCGAGUCGGCCUGCGCGGAAGAUGUAACGGGGCUAAACCAUGCACCGAAGCUGCGGCAGCGACGCUGAUGCGUUGUUGGGUAGGGGAGCGUUCUGUAAGCCUGUGAAGGUGGCCUGUGAGGGUUGCUGGAGGUAUCAGAAGUGCGAAUGCUGACAUAAGUAACGAUAAAGCGGGUGAAAAGCCCGCUCGCCGGAAGACCAAGGGUUCCUGUCCAACGUUAAUCGGGGCAGG